AGACAUUUCAUCACACAAACUCCAACAGUCUUUGGACUUUAGAACAAAAAGCAUGGAUCUUUCUGCAAAGUGAUUAAUACUCUAAUAGGGUUUUUUUAAACUCAUUCAGUGCAGUGAGGUGAGGACACAUUAGCAUGUGUUAUGUCUUUAUAGCCAAAACAACAACUUGGGAAGUUAAUGAAAAAAUACUUAAAAGAGUUGGUGGGGAUAAACUGGCUUUUUCAAAAAGCUUUGUACAGGAUCCUUCAGAUGAGGCUGUUAAGUGAAAGUAUUAAGUAGAGAGUAUCAGUUAACUUUUAACAGAAAAGAGCUUAUCCUAGAAGAAAUAGCAUUUGUCUGUGUGCCUGAUCAAUUCCUUGAUGUUGGUAGUACUUUAUAGAUUAAGUGGAAUGGAGCACUGGCAGGGUAGUUUUUGUGUUAGCCAAAACCAUAAAGAGGAUGAUGUCAGAAGAUCUAGUUAAUUUUGAUGGUGAGGCCUCAUGAUGCCAAAUAACAUAACGUAAAACAUCAAAAUAUGAAGGUUCUGAUAAAUCCAGGUUAAUGAGAUCUUUUUGAUUUGGGUGAUUUGGGGAUUAGAUGGAGUAAUUAAGAUGAACUCAAGUUUUUGUUGAACACUUUAAUUCUUUGAUUCAAGAAGGCUGAGAGAUGUGUCAACAGUACAGGUUUAUUCUCUAAGAUGCAUUUAACAACAGCACAGUAUCCACUGAAAACUCCCAAACGAGGAUAAAUGUCCAGAUGAAUAGAAGGAGUAUUUUCUAGGAGAUAACAUUAUGUAUAGUGCUGGGGAACAGAAAAGUAAUGGAAAGAACGGGACUGAGAUGCAUAAAAUUUCUACUGUAAUGAAAAAUAAUGCUGUUACUGGUAUAAUGAAAAUUAAUGUUGAUGCUUUUAUUCACUUUUUCCACUAAUGAAAAAGGAGUCGCAUAAAGAGGAGGACCAGUAUGUAAAACUGUCUAAAGUAUUUUUUAGCUUUUUAUCAUCAGUUGGUGGAAUUUGCUAUUGCAGUGUAUUGAGGUGAUAUUUUAACUGAAGAAGACUAAAAAGUUUAUGAAUAACCGUCAUAAAUAAGGGAACCAAAAUGUAUAAAACCAAAACAAUUCUCUUAUUCCAAGGUAUAAAUGAUAAUGAUUUUGUAAGG